rnacentral:lncRNA from 1 species
UUCGGGCUGCGAGCCGCUCUCUGACAGAUGCGCUCCCGCGGCCGCACUUGUUGCGCUCAGCGGCCGCCGCCCCGCAGCCCCGCGGCAGCGCUCCGCUCCUCCGUUCGCUCCUCCGUUCGCUCACCUGCCGGCUCUCCCGCUGCGUUGCUUUCGAGUCCCGCUCCCCGCAGAAGAUGUUUUAGAAGGGAAACCCGCCCGGAGCGCGGCUGUCCCCGUCCCCAUCGGGAGUUCGGCCCCGCGGUGAGAGAUGUCAGAGCCCUCCGCUGCCAACGGGGACGGGAAGGAGCCCGACAUCGAGCUCUUCGUGAAGGCUGGUAUAGAUGGAGAAAGCAUUGGGAACUGCCCAUUCUCCCAGCGUCUCUUCAUGAUCCUCUGGCUCAAAGGAGUUGUGUUCAACGUCACCACUGUUGACCUGAAAAGAAAGCCAGCUGAUCUACACAACCUGGCUCCUGGAACUCACCCACCUUUCUUAACUUUUAAUGGAGAAGUCAAGACAGAUGUUAAUAAGAUUGAGGAAUUCUUGGAAGAGACUCUUGCACCUCCAAAGUAA